CCUACGGGUGGCAGCAGUGAGGAAUAUUGGUCAAUGGGCGCGAGCCUGAACCAGCCAAGUCGCGUGAGGGAAGACGGUCCUAUGGAUUGUAAACCUCUUUUGUCGGGGAGCAAAAGAAGCCACGCGUGGCGUUCCGAGAGUACCCGAAGAAAAAGCAUCGGCUAACUCCGUGCCAGCAGCCGCGGUAAUACGGAGGAUGCGAGCGUUAUCCGGCUUUAUUGGGUUUAAAGGGUGCGCAGGCGGAAGAUCAAGUCAGCGGUAAAAUUGAGUGGCUCAACCCCGUCGAGCCGUUGAAACUGGUUGUCUUGAGUGGGUGAGAGGAAUGCGGAAUGCGAGGGGUAGCGGUGAAAUGCAUAGAUAUCGCGCAGAACUCCGAUUGCGAAGGCAGCAUACCGGCGCUCAACUGACGCUGAUGCACGAAAGUGUGGGUAUCGAACAGGAUUAGAUACCCCUGUAGUC
rnacentral:rRNA from 1 species